UACUGCGCAAAAAUUGAAACA
rnacentral:piRNA from 1 species